AAACCGGAGCUAAUACUGGAUACGAGACGUAAAGGCAUCUUUAGCGUCUGGAAAGAAUUUCGGUCUUGGAUCGGCUCACGGCCUAUCAGCUUGUUGGUGAGGUAAUGGCUCACCAAGGCGACGACGGGUAGCCGGCCUGAGAGGGUGUACGGCCACAUUGGGACUGAGAUACGGCCCAG
rnacentral:rRNA from 1 species